AGGAUGAACGCUGGCGGCGUGCCUAACACAUGCAAGUCGAACGUCCUGUCUCGCAAGAGGCAGGGAGUGGCGGACGGGUGAGUACCACGUGGGUCAUCUACCGUGAGGUGAGGAAUACCGGCGAGAAAUCGCCGACAAGACCGCAUAGGCUCGAUGCAAGUCGAGCAAAGCUCUUUCGAGAGAGGGAGCGCCACACGAGGAGCCUGCGCCCGAUUAGCUAGCUGGUGGAGUAACGGUUCACCAGGGCGACGAUCGGUAGCUGGUCUGAGAGGACGAUCAGCCACACUGGGAUUGAGAACGGCCCAGACUCCUACGGGGGGCAGCAGUGAGGAAUUUCGUCAAUGGGGGCAACCCUGAACGAGCAACGCCGCGUGCAGGAAGAAGGUUUUCGGAUCGUAAACUGCUUUUCUCGGGAAGAGAACGGACGGUACCCGAGGAAUCAGCCCCGGCUAACUACGUGCCAGCAGCCGCGGU
rnacentral:rRNA from 1 species